AGGGGGGUAGUCCUGUAAAAUUUCAUCACAAUUGGAGGUGUGUAGACAGCCCGUUUGUAUUUUACAAAUGGAGCAUACGUGGCUGUAAAGAGCAGUGAACAAUAUAUGCUACACCUAACUUUGUGGAUUUAAUUCUCAAGUUAGGUUGUAUGUUUUGAGCUAUAAUUUUAUACACUCAUCCUUUGGUGGCGAGAACGAGAACACGGAUACUUGAGCUCCUCGCGUACAAUCUCUCGCGCCUUUUGUUUUCAGUGCACAGGUUCUUCCUGGAAGCAGCGAGAGUAUUAGAGGUGGCAAGGAUUCUGUGUUUUCUCGUUUUGUUAGAAUGUAGAGUUUUGUUUUAUAGCAGUUAGCUCUUUUGUUGUAUAGAAGGAAUCAAGAUGUACUUGAUCCUUUGAGCACAGAUGUAAUUCGGUACUGUAGUUUGUUUUGAACCCCAGUUGUAUGUCUUUGGGGUUAGGUUUGUAAUAAGAGUUUUGCUAAACGUUUAGCUAUGUAAAUUUUGACUUGAAUACCUUAAGUUU